UGUGAAAUCCGGCCGGGCGAUGGUUGUCCCGGUCUAAGCAACAAGCCGUUGACGGUGGCAGGCAAAUCCACCACCGGAGGUAAGUUGUUACAGCGAGUGGAGCUACGGCGAAGCGAAGCGGACGUAAUCACGGUGCCGGGAAAUACUGUCUAAGGCUAGGUUAUAGAAGACCGUACCGUAAUCCGACACAGGUAGGUGGGAUGAGAAAUCUAAGGCGCUCGAGAGAACUCGCGUUAAGGAACUCGGCAAAAUGCACACGUAACUUCGGAAGAAGUGUGGCCCCUGUUUGGUUAAAGAGUGGGGGUGGCACAGAGCAGGCCCAGGCGACUGUUUAUCAAAAACACAGCCAUCUGCGAAUCAGCAAUGAGACGUAUAGGUGGUGACACCUGCCCGGUGCUGGAAGGUUAAGAGGAGCGGUUCGAGGUAACUCAAAGCUGUGAAUCGAAGCCCCAGUAAACGGCGGCCGUAACUAUAACGGUCCUAAGGUAGCGAAAUUCCUUGUCGGGUAAGUUCCGACCCGCACGAAUGGUGUAACGAUUCUGGGCACUGUCUCAACGCGAGACUCGGUGAAAUUUAUAUACCGGUAAAGAAGCCGGUUACCCACAGUUAGACGGAAAGACCCCGUGAACCUUCACCGUAACUUAUUAUUGGAUCUUGGUGUAGCAUGUGUAGCAUAGGUGGGAGACUACGAGACGUGGCCGUUAGGUUGCGUGGAGUCGACCAGUGAAAUACCACCCUUGCUACAUCAGGUUUCUAACCUAAUCCGUGAAUCCGGGUUGGGGACAAUGAUAGGUGGGCGGUUUGACUGGGGCGGUCGCCUCCUAAAGAGUAACGGAGGUGCGCGAAGGUCUCCUCGCGCUGGUUGGAAAUCAGCGUACGAGUGUAAAGGCACAAGGAGGCUUGACUGCGAGACUGACAGGUCGAGCAGGUACGAAAGUAGGUCUUAGUGAUCUGGCGGUAGCGAGUGGAAGCGCCGUCACUUAACGGACAAAAGGUACUCCGGGGAUAACAGGCUGAUUUUCCCCAAGAGUUCACAUCGACGGGAAAGUUUGGCACCUCGAUGUCGGCUCAUCGCAUCCUGGGGCUGAAGCAGGUCCCAAGGGUUUGGCUGUUCGCCAAUUAAAGCGGUACGUGAGCUGGGUUCAGAACGUCGCGAGACAGUUCGGUCCCUAUCUGCUGUGGGCGUUGGAUGAUUGAGAGGAGCUGCAUUUAGUACGAGAGGACCGAUGUGGACGAACCUCUGGUGUACCUGUUGUUCUGCCAAGAGCACGUGCAGGGUAGCUAAGUUCGGAAGGGAUAACCGCUGAAGGCAUCUAAGUGGGAAGCCCACCUCAAGAUAAAUCAUCCCUGGGGGUUCGACCCCCCUAAAGACUCCAGAGAGACUAUCUGGUUGAUAGGCUGCAGGUCUACGCACGGUAACGUGUUCAGCCGAGCAGUACUAAUAGGUCGUGAGGCUUGACC
rnacentral:rRNA from 1 species